GGUUGAGUGGCUCAGUGGUUAGAGCCUAGGUCUUGGGAGCGAAACGCCCCGGGAUCGAAUCUCGCGAAAGGUAG
rnacentral:tRNA from 1 species